rnacentral:rRNA from 1 species
UACAGAGGGGGCAAGCGUUGUUCGGAAUUACUGGGCGUAAAGGGCGCGUAGGCGGCCUGCUAAGUCGAACGUGAAAUCCCUGGGCUUAACCCAGGAACUGCGUCCGAUACUGGCAGGCUUGAAUCCGGGAGAGGGAUGCGGAAUUCCAGGUGUAGCGGUGAAAUGCGUAGAUAUCAGGAGGAACACCGGUGGCGAAGGCGGUUCUCUGGGCAUGAUCUGACGCUGAGGAGCGAAAGUGUGGGGAGCGAACAGG